GAGUUUGAUCCUGGCUCAGGAUGAACGCUGGCGGCGUGCUUAACACAUGCAAGUCGAACGAAACACCUUAUUUGAUUUUCUUCGGAACUGAAGAUUUGGUGAUUGAGUGGCGGACGGGUGAGUAACGCGUGGGUAACCUACCCUGUACAGGGGGAUAACAGUCAGAAAUGACUGCUAAUACCGCAUAAGACCACAGCACCGCAUGGUGCAGGGGUAAAAACUCCGGUGGUACAGGAUGGACCCGCGUCUGAUUAGCUGGUUGGUGAGGUAACGGCUCACCAAGGCGACGAUCAGUAGCCGGCUUGAGAGAGUGAACGGCCACAUUGGGACUGGGACACGGCCCAAACUCCUACGGGAGGCAGCAGUGGGGAAUAUUGCACAAUGGGGGAAACCCUGAUGCAGCGACGCCGCGUGAGUGAAGAAGUAUCUCGGUAUGUAAAGCUCUAUCAGCAGGGAAGAAAAUGACGGUACCUGACUAAGAAGCCCCGGCUAACUACGUGCCAGCCGCCGCGGUAAUAC
rnacentral:rRNA from 1 species